rnacentral:rRNA from 1 species
UUAAACAGCCAUGUCACCCUGCAGCCCAAGACCGGUUAAUCACUGAAGCUAAGCAGGGUUGAGACUGGUCAGCACUUGGAUGGGAGACCACAUCGAAAAACUAGGUUGCUGUUGUAA